GAUGAACGCUAGCUACAGGCUUAACACAUGCAAGUCGAGGGGUAACGAGAGGAAAGCUUGCUUUCCUUGUCGACGACCGGCGCACGGGUGAGUAACGCGUAUCCAACCUGCCCCCAACUAAGGAAUAACCUUGCGAAAGUAAGACUAAUACCUUAUAAUUUCCUCAGAUGACAUCUGACGAGGAAUAAAGAUUUAUCGGUUGUGGAUGGGGAUGCGUCUGAUUAGCUUGUUGGCGGGGUAACGGCCCACCAAGGCAACGAUCAGUAGGGGUUCUGAGAGGAAGGUCCCCCACAUUGGAACUGAGACACGGUCCAAACUCCUACGGGAGGCAGCAGUGAGGAAUAUUGGUCAAUGGGCGGAAGCCUGAACCAGCCAAGUAGCGUGCAGAAUGACGGCCCUAUGGGUUGUAAACUGCUUUUAUACAGGAAUAAAGUUAGCCACGUGUGGUUAUUUGUAGGUACUGUAUGAAUAAGGACCGGCUAAUUCCGUGCCAGCCGCCGCCGUAA
rnacentral:rRNA from 1 species